CCGACAUAGGUUUUUUCCCUUUCCAUCGCGUUCAUCCCCACCAUUGUUUCCCCUCUUUCUUGCUCGAGUAACCUUCUUCCCCGAAUUCUAUCGCAUGUAAUUUUCUCUAUUGGCUAGUUUACUCUACUCCACCUAACCAUGUCACUUCUCGCCCGCGGUUUUGCUCUGGGCAGGCAUCCGAGCUGCCGCGAUCAAAUCCUUCCUUGGCAGAAGAAGGGCAGUCUCGAUCACUUGACUCCUUUGCCCUGUCGGUAGAGUCAGGAGGAACGGCUGGGCUGCCUUAGCGAUGGAAGGAUCGGUUGGGCCUCGAGUUUACAGCUGCAGCAAUUGUGGCAACCAUGUCUGCCUUCACGAUGAUAUCAUAUCAAAAGCAUUUCAUGUAAAUCCUGGGAGACAUGGUCGUGCCUUUCUGUUUUCUCAUGGGAGGAACAUAGUCAUGGGGCCGAAGCAAGAUCGGCUGCUCAUGACAGGAAUCCACACGGUUGCUGAUGUAUAUUGCCACGACUGCGGGGAGGUCUUGGGCUGGAAGUACGAAAGAGCUUACGAGGAGACACAAAGGUACAAGGAAGGGAAAUUUGUCUUUGAGAAAAUAAAGAUCGUCAAGGAGAAUUGGUAGCUACAUCGGGUGUUGGAGACACUUGACAAGUUUGUUGGAAGACGAGCAACUCGGAGGAGAAAGGAGAAGAUUCGAGAUGGGUGCUACCCAUGGUCAUGGAAGCCUGCAGACUUUGACCACCAUCCUCUUCCCUUGCAAUGGGCGUUAAGGAUCGAGUCAAGGUCUGCUUCCGAGUUGUAACUCAUUCAGCAAGCCGGAGAAGACUUUUCCGACGAGCGGACCGUUGACUAGAGCCACAAUCCAUGCCUGUCUUACAAGAUUAUUUCGUCAACUGCAGCUUGGUUGACUUCCCAGAAAGAGUCGACGCAGCGUUGCGCACUUGGCACGGCCACAAGGCGUCACUCACCCGGUUCCAGGUCAACACGAGAACUCUUCUUCUGUAUGUUCAUCUUCCAUCUGACAGAAUGCAAGCUAGCAUAAAUAACCUCGAAGUCAAAACUAUAGGUAAUCAAGUAAUAAUAUU